CGCAGGAUGGAGCAGCAUGGUAGCUCGUCGGGCUCAUAACCCGAAGGUCGUCGGUUCAAAUCCGGCUCCCGCAACCA
rnacentral:tRNA from 1 species